UCCGUAGGUGACCUGCGGAAGGAUCAUUACCUAGAGUUGUAGGCUUUGCCUGCUAUCUCUUACCCAUGUCUUUUGAGUACCUUACGUUUCCUCGGCGGGUCCGCCCGCCGAUUGGACAAUUUAAACCAUUUGCAGUUGCAAUCAGCGUCUGAAAAAACUUAAUAGUUACAACUUUCAACAACGGAUCUCUUGGUUCUGGCAUCGAUGAAGAACGCAGCGAAAUGCGAUAAGUAGUGUGAAUUGCAGAAUUCAGUGAAUCAUCGAAUCUUUGAACGCACAUUGCGCCCCUUGGUAUUCCAUGGGGCAUGCCUGUUCGAGCGUCAUUUGUACCUUCAAGCUCUGCUUGGUGUUGGGUGUUUGUCUCGCCUCUGCGUGUAGACUCGCCUCAAAACAAUUGGCAGCCGGCGUAUUGAUUUCGGAGCGCAGUACAUCUCGCGCUUUGCACUCAUAACGACGACGUCCAAAAGUACAUUUUUACACUCUUGACCUCGGAUCAGGUAGGGAUACCCGCUGAACUUAAGCAUAUCAAUAAGCGGAGGA
rnacentral:rRNA from 1 species